UCCAUCCACUCCUCUUCAGUCUUCACCCACUCUAGCUGGGAAGAACGAGAACGUCGACGUCGACGAAGGUAGUUGGCAUCGCAUCGAGUAGCUACUGUGUGCAUGGCGAAGGUUGUUAGCGUCGACAUGGCCGGCGUGGUCGCGCUGCUGUGCGUCGUCCUGCUACUCUUGUCGUCCGCCGUGACGACGACAGAGGCCGCCGGCAGGCAUUUGGGGAUGGGGAGGAGGGACGACGGCGCGGCCGUGGCUACUGCGGCGUCGGCAGCGGCGACUACUGCUCCUGCUGACACGACGACCGUGACGAGGACGGGGCGGCGGCUUGGUAAUAAGGUAAUGCGAGAGGAGAUGGAGACGGCCACGACGGACGGCGACGGCGCCGGUAUCGGCGAGUCCAAGAGGCGGAGCCCUGGCGGCCCGGAUCCUCAGCAUCACUGAACUGAAACAAGAUGCAUGCCGCCGGUGCUGUCUGCCGAGAUCGACUGCAUGUGCGUGAACGUCAUCUGAACACAGUUGGAUACGAAAAGGGCUAGCGUCUGUGCUCGUACACAAAUAAAAAGAAGAUGUUGUUUUAGUUUUUCAUUACAGCUUAUAUAUUGUAGAACCAUCUGCUAUCUAGCCGUCACCCUCAGCCAGAGUCAUAGACCAGAUUUUAUAUCUGAAAAAUAGGUAUAAUCUAUGCAAUGGUUCUUCUGAGAGCUCAGAAAGAAUAAUAAUGUAAUAAGAGGACUUUAUUUUGAUCUCUUCGUGUCCCAUUUCGUCUGCAGUUUAUGUUCGCAUUAAUUGGGCCAAUUGAAGACGAACAGGAGCUGCUCUAGUUUUAAGGCUAAUAGUGUUGCAACUGCAGAACCUGUUAUGCAGAUCAGCAGAGAUGUACAGCUAGCGUGCCAUGAAAAUUUUCAAUCUCAU
rnacentral:lncRNA from 1 species